rnacentral:rRNA from 1 species
UACGAAGGGUGCAAGCGUUACUCGGAAUUACUGGGCGUAAAGGGUGCGUAGGCGGCGCGUUAAGUCCGUUGUGAAAGCCCUGGGCUCAACCCAGGAACUGCUUCGGAUACUGGCGCGCUUGAGGCUAGUAGGGGUCACUGGAACUGACGGUGGAGCGGUGAAAUGCGUAGAUAUCGUCAGGAACGCCAAUGGUGAAGACAGGUGACUGGGCUAGUUCUGACGCUGAGGCACGAAAGCGUGGGGAGCAAACAGG